CGCCACCUGGGGGCUGAAUGUUCCAGGUUUACUACGGCCCCCAUUCUGGGUCUGCCCCUUCCUGUGAUGUAAGUUCGGCCCAAGCAGGACAGGCACUACCCUCUUUUGAUGCCAGCUCUGAGCCCAGCAGUGGACAGGGUGGAGAGCUGUGCUUUCCCCAAGCACACGGGUUGGUGUGGGAAUCAAGGGCUUUAGUUGAACUAAAGGAACUACUUCAGGAGAAGCCCAGGAGGUGGAAGUAGCUGCAGGAGUCAUUGGUUGGGACCCAGGCCCAUCCUCCACUGCAGAAAGGGAAUGUCUGCUUUUUCUAAAAUGCAAUGAAGUAUUUGCACAGGGCAACUGCUUGUGAGGACACAGAUCGCCUUCCUUUCUUAAGAGAAACCAAAGCAGAGUUAAAUAGGCCCUGUGAAUGCAUUCAGUGUGGGACCCCCAAGUGGGAGGCAGCAUUUAUGAAGGUGUUUCGGGGACCAAGCUGGUGAUGGCAUGUGUAUUUCAUGGUUACAUAAUCCUGUUUGCUUAAAGUGCCUACAGUAGGUUUUGUCCUUGGUCACAGUUAACAGAGAGAUGUAAAACGUCACCCCGCUCACUGGUUAGAACCUGUGGCUGCCUUCAUGCUACCACAGCAGAUCGGAGUACUCCCAAGAGACUGCGGCUGAAAAGCUGAAAACAUUUACUGUCUGGCUCCUUCUAGAAUGUAUGUGAGCCCCUCAGUCACAUUGUUCCUUCCUUGGCCUAACUAAAUGUCUAUCUGAUUUCUGAGCGGGUGCAGCAUGCAAGUGAUCUGCAGGAUGGAUCUGUAGCAAGACCCAUUAUUCAUCUGCUGAUGAUCAGUCAUUACUCUCACCCACACUCCUUUCACCCUGUGUCACAGGAGGAAUCACAGACUCAAACUUAGUAGCCAAUUCAAACUGAAUACUUCAUAAAGGGGCUAAUAUAUGAGGAAAAGGGGCUGACGCUAACCUGACUAGCUCAGGGUAGGUCUGCGUGGCAGCCUUGUAAACUCA